UGAUGAGUCUUGACCGAUCCGAGAUUUUGAUAGUGGGCACCGACUGAGUUAUGGCAGCUCAUCACAUGCGCAGGCUUCAUGCGAUGCUGCGACAGAUGACUACAUUCAGGAUCCAGACACGAUUAUGCCUUCUACUGGACCUGACAGCACCAC